GGCUAUUUGAAAAUCAGAGCAUCUUUUAAAAGGGAGACGGCAUCUGAACCUUGCCGAGUAGGAAUGUUCCAGAAGUAAGAGAGAUGACUAGGGUUUCAAGAACAAGGACCAGCACCUAUGAAGGCUCUGAGGCACAGACCACUGUGACCUGUGGAGAAGUGCAGACAGUCUUGAUAAGGGGCGGGAGGAACGGACGCAACAAGGAGAAAGGAAGCAACGGAAGGUCUUCGGCUGCUAAAAAAUGUAACUGACAAAGAGUCCAGGGCUGUUUGUAUUUUUCUUCCUCUGUGUCUCAUAUUAAACACUUUGGGUCUGAUGACUGAGUUUCUC
rnacentral:lncRNA from 1 species